UAUGCAUUGGUGCACUCAAGCAUUUUCUGUUCUAUGAGAUCACUAAUCUGGUCACAGUGUACGCACUGAUUACAUGCUGCUAUAUGGGAGAGCAGUCUACUCUCUUCCCCUCUUGCUGCAGGUCAAGCUGCUUAUUAAAUGAGAGAACAUGGUCAUGAUGCCUUCUGAUAGUGGAAUGCAUGGAUUAAGAUGCUCAAGGGAAAAUGGAACAAACAUGAUCACCACAUCUGCAAUGUGAGGUGUCAGUACUAUUGUAACUCAGAGAUAAUGUCCUGCAGUAUGCUGAGUGUGCUCUUAGAGAAGAAAAAAGCCUUCAGAGAAACAAGCCUACAUUUGCUGCUAUAUCAGGCAAACCACCAGGAUGGAUCCCAGCAACAAGAAAAAGAAAACCUCAAGGGUUGACCGUUCAAAUAUGCUAAUGGAAUGUUGAUUGUCUUCACACUGCAUGGGGGUUAAAAUCAAAAUCAAUGGAACCACCACCCUCCCCUGUAGGUAACUUUUACUUUUCAAUCAGCUGCUCCAUUUCUCACACAAUGAAUUGAUUAAUACCUUUUGUUAUUUUAGUCUUAGAUAGUAAGAAACCUAUCUUACACACCAAAUCUAAAGUCAAUGGUUUUAUGUACAGAAUUAUUGUUUCUUUGGAAACAGAUGGAGACUCCAAAUUUACUUCAUAGUAAAGCUGUCUUUAAAUGAAUGUAGAAGGCUGUUUUCAUUUAUGCAGAAGGAUGUUUUAAUCUAACAUGAUCUUUCCUCUUUGCAUUUCAAAAAAUAAAAUGAACCACCAGAGAGAUUUGCCAUACAUAAUAAUCUCCAAAUGUGUAGUUUGCUAGAACAUCAACUCCCCAGUACAUCAUUCUUGAAAAGAAACUUGAAAAUAUGGAAACAAAUUGAUUCUUAACUGAAUUAGGAAUG